rnacentral:lncRNA from 10 species
ACAAUUAUUUUUGCAAGUUGGAAAAAAAUGCAGUAUUAAUUUCAUUUGCAACAAAUUUAAUAGAUUAAUUAGGAGAGAAUAGAUAUCUUUAAAAUUGAGUCUUCUGUCCAACUGCAAGUUAUAGCUGAGGUGGUACCAGUUUAAGAAGUGAGAACUUCUUCACUGACUGAAAUUUGCAUAUCAAUCCAAAUCAUUGUGCUUAUUUACUAUUUUUGUAGACGUCAUUCUUCAAAAGUGCUGG